GAUGAACGCUGGCGGCGUGCCUAAUACAUGCAAGUCGAGCGAACGGACGAGAAGCUUGCUUCUCUGAUGUUAGCGGCGGACGGGUGAGUAACACGUGGAUAACCUACCUAUAAGACUGGGAUAACUUCGGGAAACCGGAGCUAAUACCGGAUAAUAUUUUGAACCGCAUGGUUCAAAAGUGAAAGACGGUCUUGCUGUCACUUAUAGAUGGAUCCGCGCUGCAUUAGCUAGUUGGUAAGGUAACGGCUUACCAAGGCAACGAUGCAUAGCCGACCUGAGAGGGUGAUCGGCCACACUGGAACUGAGACACGGUCCAGACUCCUACGGGAGGCAGCAGUAGGGAAUCUUCCGCAAUGGGCGAAAGCCUGAUGGAGCAACGCCGCAUGAGUGAUGAAGGUCUUCGGAUCGUAAAACUCUGUUAUUAGGGAAGAACAUAUGUGUAAGUAACUGUGCACAUCUUGACGGUACCUAAUCAGAAAGCCACGGCUAACUACGUG
rnacentral:rRNA from 1 species